rnacentral:rRNA from 1 species
AUUGAACGCUGGCGGCAGGCCUAACACAUGCAAGUCGAACGAGUGGCGGACGGGUGAGUAAUGUCUGGGAAACUGCCCGAUGGAGGGGGAUAACUACUGGAAACGGUAGCUAAUACAGCAUACCAUCGGAUGUGCCCAGAUGGGAUUAGCUUGUAGGUGAGGUAACGGCCCACCUAGGCGACGAUCCCUAGCAGGGCUGAGGGGAUGACCAGCCACACUGGAACUUUGCCACGGUCCAGGCACCUACGUGUGGCAGCGGUGGGGAAUCUUGCAAAAGGGGCGCAAGCCUAGUGCAGCCAUUCGGUGUGUAUGAAGAAUGCCUUCGUGUUGAAAAGUACUUUCAGCGGGGAGGCGUUGCAAGGAGAAGAAGCACCGGCUAACUCCGUACCAGCCGCCGCGGUAAUAC